rnacentral:rRNA from 1 species
GACGAACGCUGGCGGCGUGCUUAACACAUGCAAGUCGAACGGAAAGGCCCUGCUUUUGUGGGGUGCUCGAGUGGCGAACGGGUGAGUAACACGUGAGUAACCUGACCUUGACUUUGGGAUAACUUCAGGAAACUGGGGCUAAUACCGGAUAGGAGCUCCUGCUGCAUGGUGGGGGUUGGAAAGUUUCGGCGGUUGGGGUUGGACUCGCGGCUUAUCAGCUUGUUGGUGGGGGAGUGGCUUACCAAGGCUUUGACGGGUAGCCGGCCUGAGAGGGUGACCGGCCACAUUGGGACUGAGAUACGGCCCAGACUCCUACGGGAGGCAGCAGUGGGGAAUAUUGCACAAUGGGCGGAAGGCUGAUGAAGCAACGCCGCGUGCGGGAUGACGGCCUUCGGGUUGUAAACCGCUUUCGCCUGUGACGAAGCGUGAGUGACGGUACUGGGUAAAGAAGCACCGGCUAACUACGU